GAUGAAGAACGUAGCGAAAUGCGAUAAGUAAUGUGAAUUGCAGAAUUCAGUGAAUCAUCGAAUCUUUGAACGCACCUUGCACUCCUUGGUAUUCCGAGGAGUACGCCUGUUCGAGUGUUAUGAAGCUCUCAAAACGCAAUUGGCUUAAAACCUGAUUGUUGUUUUGGAUUUGAACUUUGCCGUGUUAUAACGGCUGGUUUUAAAAGUAUUAGCUGGUACUAGAACGAAUUGGUUCUACUCAACGUGAUAAUUAUCUGAUCGUUGAGGACAUUCCUUUCACGAGGAAUGGCCAUAGUAAAUUCAAUGGACUGCUUCUAAUCUGGCUUUAAUUCUUUAUUGGAUUAACCACUUUUCAAAUCUGACCUCGAAUCAGGUGGGACUACCCGCUGAACUUAAGCAUAUCAAUAAGCGGACGA
rnacentral:misc_RNA from 1 species